CCUACGGGGGGCUGCAGUGGGGAAUAUUGGACAAUGGGGGCAACCCUGAUCCAGCCAUGCCGCGGGUGUGAAGAAGGCCCUCGGGUUGUAAAGCACUUUCAGUGAGGAAGAACGCCUGGUGGUUAAUACCCAUCAGGAAAGACAUCACUCACAGAAGAAGCACCGGCUAACUCCGUGCCAGCAGCCGCGGUAAUACGGAGGGUGCGAGCGUUAAUCGGAAUUACUGGGCGUAAAGCGAGCGUAGGUGGCUUGAUAAGCCGGUUGUGAAAGCCCCGGGCUCAACCUGGGAACGGCAUCCGGAACUGUCAAGCUAGAGUGCAGGAGAGGAAGGUAGAAUUCCCGGUGUAGCGGUGAAAUGCGUAGAGAUCGGGAGGAAUACCAGUGGCGAAGGCGGCCUUCUGGACUGACACCGACACUGAGGUGCGAAAGCGUGGGUAGCAAACAGGAUUAGAUACCCCUGUAGUC
rnacentral:rRNA from 1 species